rnacentral:rRNA from 1 species
GAUGAACGCUGGCGGCGUGCCUAAUACAUGCAAGUCGAGCGAACGGACGAGAAGCUUGCUUCUCUGAUGUUAGCGGCGGACGGGUGAGUAACACGUGGAUAACCUACCUAUAAGACUGGGAUAACUUCGGGAAACCGGAGCUAAUACCGGAUAAUAUUUUGAACCGCAUUGUUCAAAAGUGAAAGACGGUCUUGCUGUCACUUAUAGAUGGAUCCGCGCUGCAUUAGCUAGUUGGUAAGGUAACGGCUUACCAAGGCAACGAUGCAUAGCCGACCUGAGAGGGUGAUCGGCCACACUGGAACUGAGACACGGUCCAGACUCCUACGGGAGGCAGCAGUAGGGAAUCUUCCGCAAUGGGCGAAAGCCUGACGGAGCAACGCCGCGUGAGUGAUGAAGGUCUUCGGAUCGUAAAACUCUGUUAUUAGGGAAGAACAUAUGUGUAGGUAACUGUGCACAUCUUGACGGUACCUAAUCAGAAAGCCACGGCUAACUACGUG